GUCCAGAUUGUGGCUGAAGCUGAAUUUUAUGAGCCUUCCCCCAGCUCUCCUGUACUUCUUUUUCAGGUUGCUACUCUGAUCAAGGCUGACAGUUUGUCACACACUACUACUGCAGAGGCCAGAGCAUUUUGAAAGGCAAGAAACAGAACGGAAAUGGAGAGGAGAGCCCAGCAUGACUUGCGCCGUGCCAAAGGAAUACGUGUGAGUUGGCUUCGUGUCAUCGUAACAAAACCCUGAGAGAAAUAUCUUGAAAGAGCCAGGUUGGUCCAGACCUGCUGGCAAGCCUGCAGCCCCAUCCACCGAUUACCUAAUACACUUGUGACAUCUGCUUUCCUUGUUGUGAGAAAACACAGGGAGGAAGUGUGUGCAGAAGGGGUGAUGCCUGACCUACACACCCGGCAAUACCAGAAGUUUCACUACCUUCCGUUGGUAAACGCUUCAGGGAAGGCUCUGCAACCCUGAACGUGUUUUAUUGUAGAACCUCACUAGGAAACUCAUCAGUAUUUAUUAAAGAUGAAUUAAAAGAAGGAGGAAAAGGAAAAACGGGAUAGUGAAGAGAAUAGAUGAAUGAAAAAGAAGCAAAGGGAAGAGAGGAGGAAGGGACAAAGAGGGCAAGAAAAGAGAAAAGAGAGAUGAGAGACCAGGACUUCCCACCUAACCUUACCAAACUUUUUCAGUUGAGCUUUUAAUGGGAUACUAUUCCCAAGAGGAAAUUCAAAAAGAAAACCACCUUGAAACAUCCUUGCUUUUAAUUGUACUCUUUCAACUGCCAGGAAAUUAAUUAGGUGUCCAGCUACAGAGGCCAAGCCUGUGAUUUACAUCAAGCAAAGAGUCCUGGGAGAAAGAGGAGGAAAGACCGCCUUUGCCUGGGACAAGAUUCCUAUUUGUGUCAAGGAGAGUUAGGGACGAGAUGGUUGAGGCAGAGCAGCUGACUGCAGUCUUUAUCCAGUUUGCAUUGCUUUGGGGAAAGCCUUUUAACUGCAAGCCGGAUUGUCCAGAUGCUGGGCUGUCCGGAUGCUGGAUGGUCCAGAUGCUUUGUCGUGGUUGUUCCCUCUGAGUUUCCUCUGCCUUCUGGCUCCUCUUAGUCACCUUCACAACAGGGCUUUAUCAGGACUCUAGAGCAUCGGGCAAGCUCAGGUCUCACCUCUCCUUUUAAUUCUGCAGGAGUCUAUGCCAUGUACUCCAGCCCUGCAUAGAAUGAGUUCUGGAGUUCACCUGGAGCCCACGGAGAGUGGAUGUGGAACUUUUCUGUAGAACAUAGGAGCCGUCUGUACCGGCACAGCUUCAGCCAGCAAUAAGCAUUACCAGCUCCUGCCAGAGGAGCAAGAGGCAGCCACUGAGCUAUAGAGAUCCACACUCCGUCCCUCGUACAACUGCCGCUGUGACCACCUUCUCCUUUCUGCUUUAUUACGUCUGAGAAGCAUUUCAUAUGAUAACCUUCCCUUUCACUCUGGCCUGGACCCUUAUUGAAAAGGAAGAAGCAGUGGAAGAGAUCAGACAAGCAGUGUUGUUCGAGACACUUCCUAAUUCCCUUAACAAGGGUUAUGAAGUUUCGGCUGGGAAAAAGGACAAGGGGCAGAGACAGUGUUUAUUUACAGAAUGGUUCUAGAAGAGCUGACAGGCUUCGAAUGGCCGUGGGUUGUACGGUUUUGACAUUUAACAAUUUUAUUAACAUCUUUGCUUAUUAUUCACCUUAAUCUUCAGCGUCUGCAGCCAGGAAGGAGUGUGCCCAGCUGACAGCCUGUGUCUCAGGCCCUGCCAGGGGAUGAAUCAAUUAGCAGGAGAAGCCAUGAUGCAAACGUUCUGGGGUCACUUGAGAGGCUGUUUGCCUUUCUGAUAGAGAAAGCACACCAUAAAUACCAUCACACCUCAGGAAAUCAUCCCGGGAGGCCCAGAUGCUAGCACGACGGCUGUCACUGCUGUGGGGACAGAGGGAAUCCUUGGCUCCCUGGGUGGAUUUCCCUCAUGCCGGUCAAUAGAAGAUUUGUAGUGAAAUCAAAAUAUUUUAAAGGAGGACAGUGUGCGGUAACAGAGGCUUGUUUAGCUUUUUUUUUUAAGUACCAGAACCCAUGAUUUAUGACCCACAGUUACAACCAACUUUAUUACAAAAAUGACUUCACCCAUAAUAACCUUAUUCAGGAAUCCUUACAGAAUGAUGUAGUAUCCCCAAAGCAUUAUAAGCUAGCAAAUAUUCACAAACAAUUCCUACUGCUGUCCCUUUUCCCCACCCACUCAGUGGUAGGGUAGGAUUCCCCCCCACCCCUUUUUUUUUUUUUUAACCAGCUGGGAGAAAGAGGUCCCAGACAAGCUUCUAUAUUCUUUUGGUAGACAUUUGCCAGGUCAGGCAUUUCAAAUCACCCAGGACAGAGGCUGCCUCCUAGCUUCGACCUUUAUCUUCCCCAACCAGUGCCCUGGGCAACAGCACAGGGCUCCAUUCACCUUCACUGCCUCCCUGAGCAUCCCUGUCUCCCUCCCUCGUUGGAUACCCAGUAUCUGGGGGUAGCUUCAUGAAGUCCCUCCCCUUUUAAUUGCCAUGGUAACCGACAGCUGCAUUAAAAUGGCCAGGACUUGGGGGGUCCAAGCAAUGUCCCUCGGGUGUGCCUGGAUCUAGGAACUGGUUCUCUAUCUUAUUAAACUCAGGUGUCAGUCCCUAGCAUUUGUGUUAAAUUUACACCCUCCAAGUCGGUCAGUGGGAUUACAUGUCCAUUUGCAUUAAAACAGGUUUCUGUCAUUAAA
rnacentral:lncRNA from 1 species